GACGAACGCUGGCGGCGUGCCUAAUACAUGCAAGUAGAACGCUGAAGAGAGGAGCUUGCUCUUCUUGGAUGAGUUGCGAACGGGUGAGUAACGCGUAGGUAACCUGCCUGGUAGCGGGGGAUAACUAUUGGAAACGAUAGCUAAUACCGCAUGAAAUUGCUUAUCGCAUGAUAAUUAAUUGAAAGAUGCAAUUGCAUCACUACCAGAUGGACCUGCGUUGUAUUAGCUAGUUGGUGAGGUAACGGCUCACCAAGGCGACGAUACAUAGCCGACCUGAGAGGGUGAUCGGCCACACUGGGACUGAGACACGGCCCAGACUCCUACGGGAGGCAGCAGUAGGGAAUCUUCGGCAAUGGGGGGAACCCUGACCGAGCAACGCCGCGUGAGUGAAGAAGGUUUUCGGAUCGUAAAGCUCUGUUGUAAGAGAAGAACGGGUGUGAGAGUGGAAAGUUCACACUGUGACGGUAUCUUACCAGAAAGGGACGGCUAACUACGU
rnacentral:rRNA from 1 species